UGAACUUUAAGUUAUAUAAACUAAGAGCCUUCCAAGCUCCACAAAAGAAAUUCUUAAGUUCAA
rnacentral:tRNA from 1 species